rfam:Triticum aestivum genome assembly, contig: Triticum_aestivum_CS42_TGACv1_scaffold_221117_3B
UAAAUACUCCCUCCAUCUCAAAAUUCUUGUCUUAGAUUUAUUUAGAUACAGAUGUAUUUAACACUAAAAUGUGAAUAGAUACAUCCGUAUAUAGACAAAUCCAAGACAAGAAUUUUGAGACAGAGAGAGUAUUCU